rnacentral:sRNA from 2 species
GCUGUAUGCCCUUUUCGGGCGUUUCCUCCCUAAACUCAGGCCGCUCCCGUAGCGGCCUUUUCUUUUUUCGGC